rnacentral:ncRNA from 1 species
CGCUCAUCCAGAGGGGCAGAGGGAACGGCCCGUUGAAGCCCCGGCAACCCUCCCGCCGGUCUCGUCGACAUAUUCGCGAGGCUCCCGGUGGGGAAGGUGCCAAUUCCGGCUCGCGGCGAGAUGCGCCGCGGGGAAGAUGAGGA